rnacentral:rRNA from 1 species
AUUGAACGCUGGCGGCAUGCUUUACACAUGCAAGUCGAACGGCAGCGCGGGCUUCGGCCUGGCGGCGAGUGGCGAACGGGUGAGUAAUAUAUCGGAACGUACCCAAGAGUGGGGGAUAACGUAGCGAAAGUUACGCUAAUACCGCAUACGAUCCAAGGAUGAAAGCAGGGGACCUUCGGGCCUUGUGCUCCUGGAGCGGCCGAUAUCUGAUUAGCUAGUUGGUGAGGUAAAGGCUCACCAAGGCAACGAUCAGUAGCUGGUCUGAGAGGACGACCAGCCACACUGGAACUGAGACACGGUCCAGACUCCUACGGGAGGCAGCAGUGGGGAAUUUUGGACAAUGGGGGCAACCCUGAUCCAGCAAUGCCGCGUGAGUGAAGAAGGCCUCCGGGUUGUAAAGCUCUUUUGUCAGGGAAGAAAAGGGAGUGGCUAAUAUCCAUUCCUGCUGACGGUACCUGAAGAAUAAGCACCGGCUAACUACGUGCCAGCAGCCGCGGUAA